GAGAUUAAAGAUUUAUCGGUGAUGGAUGGGGAUGCGUCUGAUUAGCUUGUUGGCGGGGUAACGGCCCACCAAGGCGACGAUCAGUAGGGGUUCUGAGAGGAAGGUCCCCCACAUUGGAACUGAGACACGGUCCAAACUCCUACGGGAGGCAGCAGUGAGGAAUAUUGGUCAAUGGACGAGAGUCUGAACCAGCCAAGUAGCGUGCAGGAAGACGGCCCUAUGGGUUGUAAACUGCUUUUAUAAGGGAAUAAAGUGAGUCUCGUGAGACUUUUUGCAUGUACCUUAUGAAUAAGGACCGGCUAAUUCCGUGCCAGCAGCCGCGGUAAUACGGAAGGUCCGGGCGUUAUCCGGAUUUAUUGGGUUUAAAGGGAGCGUAGGCCGGAGAUUAAGCGUGUUGUGAAAUGUAGACGCUCAACGUCUGCACUGCAGCGCGAACUGGUCUUCUUGAGUACGCACAACGUGGGCGGAAUUCGUGGUGUAGCGGUGAAAUGCUUAGAUAUCACGAAGAACUCCGAUUGCGAAGGCAGCUCGCGGGAGCGCAACUGACGCUGAAGCUCGAAAGUGCGGGUAUCGAACAGGAUUAGAUACCCUGGUAGUCCGCACGGUAAACGAUGGAUGCCCGCUGUUGGCCUGAAUAGGUCAGCGGCCAAGCGAAAGCAUUAAGCAUCCCACCUGGGGAGUACGCCGGCA
rnacentral:rRNA from 1 species